AUUAAAUGGUGCAUAUCAAUCAAAAUAGAGGAACUUGCGUUCCUAAUCAGGUUGCGUACAUCUCCUGAGGCAGAGGCCGGGAAAGAUAUAUCUUUAUUAUCUAAAAGUAAAAUUACCUCCACUAUGCAAACCAUGGAAUGAACAUCUCUUCGAAACCUCGCCGGCUGUAUCGCCUUGGUACAAAAUCGGAUCUGCUCAUUCCUGGUAGCCAUGUCCACGCCAAACAGAACUCCUGGACCGAGGACGGGCACAAUGAUCUUAGCUGUAUCCCCGAAAUCGAUCUCGGAUGGUGAUCCCUUGAAGAAAUGAGGAGUGACCUCUGGCCCAAAGAAAAAUGUCACCUUCAAAAAUUGGUCACAUGUACGUGAGUUUGUAACUCAGAGAAUACUCUUAAAUUUAAGAUUUGUUCCAUCUGCAAAAUAAUGUUAAUUAAGGUCACCUUCUUUAGCCCGAAAAGGUUCACUGUGAACACACUUCCCAUCUUCAUGUGUAGUUCAUGGAUUGCAGCAUGUAAACCCUUCUUGGGCGUCACAAGUGUGAGCAGGGCUGCCAUUAGAGGAGCUCCACUCACAACUUGUGGCGGGCGCAGAGUAAUUGGUGAUCUUUUUCCUUUGCGUGUAAGACGAAUGGUUCUGAUUCUUGCAAUGAUCUUGGAGAUGAUUGUGGUGAGAAACAAAAAUGCUAUGGUAAAGCAUGCUGCCGUGUGUAUUGUGAUCCCAUCCAUGUCCAUAUGCAUAUGCAGCGCUCAACUUUAUGAAAACCUGGCUAAUGAAAAUGAGUAAAUUGAUUGAGCUGAGGAUGAAGGAAAACAUAUGUAGAAUGGAAGUUUUUUAGAAGUUACGUACUGAUGAGAGAGAGAGAGAGAGAGAGAGAGAGAUUACAUACGUACUAAUUGUUUGUGCUUGAACCAGGCGUAGCUAUAAUCCUACAACAACUAACCAGAUACAGACCUGCACUGAAGCUGAAAAGAAUUGGAAAUAGGAUGAACCGUUUGGAGGUGGAUGCAUGAGAAGAACUACUUGUCGGGCAGGACAGGCGUUUUAUAGAUGCACCGAGGCUUCUUGACUUGUCCGGUCUCAUUUAAUAGUCGUUGCUGCACCGUAUUGUUUACUACUACAAAGUGCCGGUUCAAAACUAAAACUGAACUAAUAGUCUGGUCUUGGUCCUAAAAAAGCAAUUGACCAGUUGCAUGAAGGAAGAAAAAUGCAAUUAACCUUGGUGUGACGCAAACUACUCAUGACUAGUCACAAACUAUAUAUUCAUUCAUGAGAAAUGUUUCUAUAGCUCAUGUAUCUGAAUAAUGGAUUCUCCACGUGGUUUGAGGUUUUGAAUAUCUUGUGAACUAAUUACCUGGUAGUUUUGAAUCUUGUACGAGGAAUGAUGGUGUGACUCAAACUCUUCUCUUAGUGGUGUCACGUGGGAGUUUUGUUGAGUUGGGAGAGAUAGAAAGGAGACCUGCUCCAGUGCUCCCCCCUAACCUAAUUUCGGAGGGGUAUUUUUGUCCCCGCGAAUUUGUUUUUUUCCUGGCCCGCCGCAACCCAGAUCCAAGCCCUGUCUAGCCCUGUAUAACCCAGACCGUAUACGUACAGUACCCUGGUCCGAAAAAGAACAUCACACGACCCCACGUCCACGUAAGACCUGCCGAAUCCAAUCAUUCACAAGAGCAGCUCCAUCAAUCUCGCGAGCAUUGACGCAGCUCCAUAAGUCACGUAGUAGAUCUCCAGCGGCGACUAUCUUGUCGCCGGCGAUCUCGUCGGACAGCGGGCGCGACAACGUCGUGAAUCUCCAACGAGCGCGCACAGGUACCGCAUCCCGCGUCCCCCCUCUAGUCUCGCUCGCGGCAACAUCGAACGAACUGCCGCCGCCAGUGGUAGUGGUUAACCUAGCGGGGCGGGUAAGCUAGCUACCCGGCAGCGCAUGCGAUCGUGGAUCUUGUUCCGGUAGUGCUGCUCCUCAUGAUUUGGGUUCACGUAGCGUCGGUUGCCGUCGGCUGUACGCACCACCGGUAUCGUUAUUUGAUGUGGCGGCUAACCUAGGUAUCUGGCGGCAGAGGUAAUCACAGAUGAAGCUAGGUUUUGAGAUCGUGCAGUUCCUCGCGAUUGAAAGUGAUCACGACGGGUGCCGUGGCCAUCUUCCUUACUAAGUUGGGCAGAUCUAAACGGCCUCGUUUGCGGUUGUUUACAUAACAUCCGUGAUCGUGUGCUAUGUCUUUUAUAUUUCAUCAUUGAUAAUGUUUGCACAUGUGAUGAUACAUAAUAUUGGUUGUAGGAAAUGGCGGACGAGGAGUUAACUGAUAUCAUGGUAGACAUGGAGUUUGGAGAACUGAUGAAAGACUGGAUAGAAGAUUGGUCAGAUGAUGAAAAUUCAGAUCGUGAAGAUCGGUCAGAGAAUGGGAACGAAUGGGACGAUCUUAAUGUGAGUGGCAUUGUCAUGUUGUAAUUUUUUGGUGGCAUCCGACAACAUUAAAUCUUUGUGUUGAAAAUUUACAGAUCGAUGAGCUUGAUGAUGAUCUGGAAAACAACUCGGAGCUCUCGAAUGAAGAUUACAUUAGUCAGGUACGUAAGUGAAAAAAUUUGUUGGCAUGCAAAUUGAAUUUCUUUUGGAAUAUUAUAUGAUAAGUAAUUGUGUAUUUGUGUUGUAUUUUUCAGUUCAUUUCCGAAUGUCAGAAUGCGUACGACUAUUACGGUGAAUCCGACGCGGAGACAGGCCUUAACGACGAAUCAUUAGAUGCACCUGGUUCUGGGGAGUCCGAGUCGUCGGUCAUCAUGAGUGAGGUAUGUGUGUAAUCAAUGUUCUAUGGAAGUAAGUAAUGUUAAACCUUAGAAAUCUGUUUUCAUGGCUGUGGUUUGAUUGUGUAGGUAACACAAGAUGAUGGGGCAAAGAAUGUCCAAGAUACUGCCAGUGCAGAUGAUAAGAGGGAUAUGUUCAUGCAGAUAAUGGAAAUGACCUUUACGUCUCACGAUGCUGCGUAUGAUUUCUACAACAGCUAUGCUAGAGAUAAUGGUUUCAGCAUUAGAAAGAAUAAGGUCAGGUAUAGCAAAACAGAGUCACGUCAUAUGCGUUAUAGGCGGUUUGUUUGUUCAAGACAAGGAAAACGUGACAGCAAGUUGCUAACCGAGGAAGGACACAGCCGUAGGCUCAGAGUCGAGACACGCUACUUUUGCGAAGCGCACCUGACUGUCAAGCUUGACCAAAAGCGUGGGGUUUGGUAUGUUGAAAGUUUUGAGGACAAGCAUAGCCAUAUGUUGGCAGGACCGGACGAGGUGCCUUUUCUUUGGUCCCACAGAAAAAUCAAAGAGUACCAGAAGCAUGAGAUAAUGUCCAUGGAAGCUGCAGGGAUUAGAAUUCACGACAUGAUGGAUUGCUUCAUCAACAAACAUCUAUGGUACGGCGUUGUUGGCUUUACCAGGCGUGAAAUAUACAAUCUUUGCGCCAAGGAGAAGAGGAAGCUGCUUUCAAAAGGUGAUGCUGCCACAGCCAUAGGCAUCAUGGCAAGUAGGAAACAGAGGAAUCCUAGCUUCUUUUUCGAGUACAGGCUAGCUAAGGAAGGAAAUUUGAAUAGGAUGUUCUGGUGCGACUCCCAGUCUCGUCAUGACUAUGAGGACUUCGGCGAUGUGCUUGUAUUUGACAGGACGUACAAGAUGAACCGCUAUGGUAUGCCAUUCAUACCUUUUGUUGGUCUUAACAAUCACCGGAAGACCACUGUUUUCGGUUGUGCCAUAUUUUUGGACGAGACCGAGCAGACAUACGUGUGGCUUCUGCAGACUUUUUUGAGGCCCAUGUGUCAAAAGAUGCAUAAGAGUGUUAUCACAGACGCCGAUGCUGCGAUGAUCAAGGCUAUUUGCGAAGUCUUGCCAGACGUUUGGCACCGUAUAUGUACGUGGCACAUAGAGAAAAAUAUGAAGAUUCACCUCAGUCACAAGUCCUUGAAGGAGUUGCAAACUCUUCUGUACUACAACACGUCCACAGCAACGUUUGAGUACAGAUGUCACGCAUUUUCCAAAAGAUGGCAGUCGGAAAAAAACUGUAACAUGGUUGAGGCGGAUGCAUAAGAAGAGGAGACUGUGGGCCGCGGCAUAUCUAACUGAGGGGUUUUGGCUGGGCAUGAAAAGCAAACAACAAAGUGAAAGCCUGAACUCAUGCCUUCACCUCCACCUAGACGGUGAAAUGACCCUGGUGGAUAUGAUUUUGCACUAUGAGAACGCAGUUGUGCGUAUCCGUGAAAACGAGGCGCGAGAUGACUACACGGCCUCACAGAGUUUACCGGUGCCAGUUACUAGCUCGAGGGAACUUGAGAUAGCUGCUUCUCACGUCUUCACUCUAGCAAACUUCUAUAUGUUGCAAGAUGAUCUUAGAAAAAUUGACGGCAUGGAGAUUGUAGAAAUUAAGCUGGGAGACGGAUCAUAGCAGUACAUCAUGGCCUGGAAGAAUAACCGGAACCGCCGUUUUUCGGUGGAGUAUACACCAGUAAAUUCCGCAGAAACUAUAAGGUGCAGCUGCAGAAGAAUGAUUCGAAAGGGUCUACCUUGCAAGCACAUAUUCCAUGUACUGAAUCACUUGAACAUAUCUGAAAUACCAAAGUGUUUAGUUCUUAUUCGGUUCACGAAAGAAGCAAGGUUGGGACUGCCCGCAAGGCGCACAAGCGAUCUGUUUGAACCUUUUCCCAAACCAGUAGAACAUAGAACAGAAACCUAGGCUACACAAGCUAAAUGGGCUGGCGCACUCCAUCCUAGUGCGAAAGAGCAUCUAUUUGACGUAGCAUCUGUCAAAUAGAAGGCCCAUGAAAUUCAAGAAAGGUCCAUAUGUAGCGCGUGAGGUGCCAACAAGAGCCCCGCCAUUGUUCUAGAUGGACCAGCCCAUCUGGUAGUUUUGCCUUUCCUCGCCAAACACGAGCUCCCAGAAGCUUCUGUUCCUUCUUGUUUUUAUGAUUUUUCCAGUCUAUUAAAUGGAUUUUGUUCCUCUUUCAUUUAUUUUCAUUUUAUUUUGAAUCUUUACCUACCUUUUCAAAUCUUGUGUUUUCUUAAUUAAAAAUUAAUUUUUAAAAUUAAAGAACCUUAGAAAAUACAUAAAUAUUAUUUUGAAAUUUCUAAUUUUUUAAAAAUUAGCAAACAUUUUUCAAAUUCAUGAAGAGGUCUUUAUAAAAUUCAGUUUUUGAAACAUUUCUUAUAGUUUUAUUAUUUACUAGAAAUUUCUAAGUCCAUUAAUAAUUUUUUAUUUUAGCAAAAAAUUGAAGUUAAUUAAAAAAGUGCCAUGUUUUUUCCGUAAGAAAUUAGAGCAGCAAAAAGUAACAACAUGAACAAGCAACUGAUAACACUCCUCCUCAUUGUCCCUGGCCACUUGCAAAGGUAUAUCGUGCACAGAGGAGCACCUACAGAGAAAAGGCUUAUCAAUCAUGGCAGUACAACGAACACCAGAAAUAAAAAUUAUGUCUAGAUACAUAGACCACCUAGCAACGACUACAAACACUAAAGUGAGCCGAAGGUGCGCCACCGUCAUAGCCCCUCCAUCGCCGGAAUCAGGCACAACUUGUUGUAAUAGACAGUCGGGAAGUCGUCGUGCUAANNNNNNNNNNNCCCAUAAAAUAAAAAUCUACGGAAAAAGAAGUCAUAGAUGAAUAUGGAUAUUAGAACAUUGUUUACAAAACAAGCAUCACUUGAACUUGUACACACAUAUAUACACAUGACCACAUUACUCACACACCCACGCUGAUGGUGAGAUAUUUUCACAUAUAUGCUAUUAGUUCUUGAUUUUUUAGCACAUAUUUGCCAUAUACAGAGUAUUAAUUACCAGCGUAUAACAAUGACACACCAACACACAGUUUGAUUACAAACUCGUUAGUUUACGUGCAUGCGUGCUAAUUAACUAUUGACCUUCUCCUAUAAGUAACCGUCACUUUUCCCCUGGGUCCUGGUAAUAUUUUGUCAUUCUCUAGCUCGGGGAAAGGAGAGAUCAACUCAAGCUCAAAGUUCCUCAGCAAAUAGCUCCAUAUGACCUUGAUUUGCAUGAAAGCAUAAUCCUGUCCCAAGCAAGAAUACCUCCCAGCACCAAAAGAUAUGUCCGAAAACUUGCCGCCGGUUUUGUCCUCUUCUCUCCCCGGGCCAAACCGGCAUGGGUCAUACAUAUUAGGGAUCUUAUAAAUGUAAGGUAACUUGUUGCUGACCGCUAUGGAGCAUGCUAAAGCAUGCCCUUUUGGAAUCUCAUAUUCCAUGCCAUCUCUGGUUUGCACCGCGAAUCUCUUGUGUGCAUGACGAAGUAGUAAUGGCGUCGGAGAAUAAAGCCUCAGUGCCUCUUUGAUACAGCAACGCAAGGUAUCCAUCUUUGACAAGAUGGUGUAGUCUAUGGGUUCUCCAUUUUGCUCAAUGAUUUUCUUCUGCUCUUCCAUGGCAGCUGUCAUGUACUUUUGAUUGCUUAGCAGUCAAGCUCCUGUCCAGGUGCUGGUACUUGAGCUCGUGUGCUGCCCGGCGAACAAGAUGGCAAUGAGUAGCCCGACGAUCUCGCUCUCUGUCAUGGAUCGGCCAUCACUGUAUUUUGAGUCUAUGAAGCUCUGCAACACAUCGCCUUCGUCGUCAUCAUUGCUGUCCAUGACUCGGACUGGGCUAAUUCUUCUACGUGAUCUGACUAUCUCGUGGAGUAUCUCUCCCAGCCUUGCAUGCGCCGUCGCGUCGGUGGUGCGGCGGAAUUGGGAGGUGCGGGAAGAAUAAGUUGAUCAUGUGGAAGCUGUUUUCAAAUAGUUCAUGGAGGAGUCUCGACACUUCUUCCAAGUUGUUGCCUUUGAUCUCAUUGCCAAGCAAGCAUCUGUUUGCGAUCAACACGAUUAGGUGGCCAAGCUCAUGCUUUAAAUCAACCGUACCACUUUGUCUCCAUUUCGCAAAGUAGUCCUACAUACAAAAGUUCCCAUAUCAAGCAUUAUUCUAAAUAAAAUAAAAGAUUUAUAAAUCAAACAACUAAUAAUCAUAAGGCGGAGUAAUUAAAUGGUGCAUAUCAAUCAAAAUAGAGGAACUUGCGUUCCUAAUCAGGUUGCGUACAUCUCCUGAGGCAGAGGCCGGGAAAGAUAUAUCUUUAUUAUCUAAAAGUAAAAUUACCUCCACUAUGCAAACCAUGGAAUGAACAUCUCUUCGAAACCUCGCCGGCUGUAUCGCCUUGGUACAAAAUCGGAUCUGCUCAUUCCUGGUAGCCAUGUCCACGCCAAACAGAACUCCUGGACCGAGGACGGGCACAAUGAUCUUAGCUGUAUCCCCGAAAUCGAUCUCGGAUGGUGAUCCCUUGAAGAAAUGAGGAGUGACCUCUGGCCCAAAGAAAAAUGUCACCUUCAAAAAUUGGUCACAUGUACGUGAGUUUGUAACUCAGAGAAUACUCUUAAAUUUAAGAUUUGUUCCAUCUGCAAAAUAAUGUUAAUUAAGGUCACCUUCUUUAGCCCGAAAAGGUUCACUGUGAACACACUUCCCAUCUUCAUGUGUAGUUCAUGGAUUGCAGCAUGUAAACCCUUCUUGGGCGUCACAAGUGUGAGCAGGGCUGCCAUUAGAGGAGCUCCACUCACAACUUGUGGCGGGCGCAGAGUAAUUGGUGAUCUUUUUCCUUUGCGUGUAAGACGAAUGGUUCUGAUUCUUGCAAUGAUCUUGGAGAUGAUUGUGGUGAGAAACAAAAAUGCUAUGGUAAAGCAUGCUGCCGUGUGUAUUGUGAUCCCAUCCAUGUCCAUAUGCAUAUGCAGCGCUCAACUUUAUGAAAACCUGGCUAAUGAAAAUGAGUAAAUUGAUUGAGCUGAGGAUGAAGGAAAACAUAUGUAGAAUGGAAGUUUUUUAGAAGUUAC
rnacentral:lncRNA from 1 species